AAAAGCUGUUCGAUCAGCAGGCAUUUCUUUGAUUAAUUCUCUUCCCAAGGGGUAAGCCACUUACCUACCGACUGUAGGACAAACACCUACUGCAAGGGGAGAACAAAAGCAUUGUAUUCAAUGUAGCAGUUAAACGUUUGCAGUAGUACUAAUCUGUAAUAUACACAAAAGAGUUCAAAAGCAAAUAUAAAACAUUCAAAAACAUUACACACAGAAAAAAAAUAAAAAAUUUCUGACCAAGUUUCCAUAAGUACAAGAAGUUUAAUUCCAAUUACCACAAAUUGUAGACUUCAAAUACUAGGGGAUUAAAAGAGGCUUUUUAAAAGGGCCAUUCUAAGCGUCUUAACCAGUACAGUGUGCAUUAGUGGCACCACCCUAUACAAUCAUAUAAUUUACAAAAGGUAAAUACACUUACCUUGCUCUGUUCUGUCUGCAGGCUGCUUCCGAUCUAUGCCAUUACGCAAAAGCAGAACUAACAAACAUUCACAUUAUCAAAUCAGCUUGUGCUAAGUUUAAACAUUAUUCAUUGAUUGACAGCUGUCAGGUGUCAGUUAAUUGUUGGAAGGUGCAGGGCCUCCACACUGUACACUGUAAUGGUUAAAUGAUGCUUAAAGGGACACUAUAAGCAGCUAAACAACUUUCGCUUAAUGGAGUUGUUUUGGUGUCUAUAUCAUGCACCUACAGCAUAAAAUCUUAAUUAUCUGCCAUUUGGGAGUUAAAUUACUUUGUAUGGGUCACGUGCAGGGGAGGUGUGGCUGCAUAAAGUCACACUACACAUUUCCUGUAAAGAGAUGUAAUGUUUAAACUUCCUUUAUUGCACAGUCUGUUUAACUUAGAUUUAUUUUUAGCCACCUGUGUGUGAUUAAAGUUCAGUUAAUAGAACAGGAGAUAGAAACUUAAAGGAAUACAAUGCAAAGUUGUAUUCCUGGCACUAUAGCUCCCUCUGCCUCCUCACUCUUUCACACCCCCACCGACGUGAAUAAAGGAUUAAAAACCCAUUAUUUACUUACCUUACCCAAGCACUGAUGUCUCUCAGCGCUAAGUCGAGGCUGCGCCUCCACAAGCAUCCCGCACACGCACAUGCAGAACGUGUGGACGUCCAGC